UACGUAGGUGGCGAGCGUUGUCCGGAUUUACUGGGCGUAAAGAGCGCGCAGGCGUCGUUCAAGUCGCGUGUGAAAGCCCCCGGCUCAACUGGGGAGGGUCACGCGAUACUGAUCGACUCGAAGGCAGGAGAGGGAAGUGGAAUUCCCGGUGUAGUGGUGAAAUGCGUAGAUAUCGGGAGGAACACCAGUGGCGAAGGCGACUUCCUGGCCUGUUCUUGACGCUGAGGCGCGAAAGCUAGGGGAGCAACGGGAUUAAGAAACCCCGGUGAGUCCCAAGACC
rnacentral:rRNA from 1 species